rnacentral:tRNA from 1 species
GCGCCUGUAGCUCAAACUGGAUAGAGCAGGGGCGUCCUAAGCCCUGUGUUGGAGGUUCGACUCCUCCCAGGCGCA